rnacentral:rRNA from 1 species
GCAAGUCGAGCGCACCUUCGGGUGAGCGGCGGACGGGUUAGUAACGCGUGGGAAUAUGCCCUUCUCUAAGGAAUAGCCUCUGGAAACGGAGAGUAAUACCUUAUACGCCCUUUGGGGGAAAGAUUUAUCGGAGAAGGAUUAGCCCGCGUUAGAUUAGGUAGUUGGUGGAGUAAUGGCCUACCAAGCCUACGAUCUUUAGCUGGUUUUAGAGGAUGAUC